rnacentral:rRNA from 1 species
UACGGAGGGAGCUAGCGUUGUUCGGAAUUACUGGGCGUAAAGCGCGCGUAGGCGGCUUUGUAAGUUAGAGGUGAAAGCCCGGAGCUCAACUCCGGAACUGCCUUUAAAACUGCAUCGCUUGAAUCCAGGAGAGGUGAGUGGAAUUCCGAGUGUAGGGGUGAAAUUCGUAGAUAUUCGGAAGAACACCAGUGGCGAAGGCGGCUCACCGGACUGGUAUUGACGCUGAGGUGCGAAAGCGUGGGGAGCAAACAGG